GGUAGAGCUAUUUAUUACCUCCGAACGCUAGCCAAGGGUGACAGGCUACGCUCCAAGAUAAGAAUGAUUCCUGGUUCUCAAUGGGAGUUCAGAAUCUAUCUAUAUGACAAAACUUAUGUCCGUGGUAUGAUCGACUUUCCAAUUGCAUAUCAGAUGUCGAGGAGGCAAGAUGGUGAGUUCGGCAAUAUGUUUUCUACAGGCAGAGGAACUCUUUUACGAUGCCCCAAACAAAAUUUCACGGUGCAGGAUAAUUUUCAGGUGGACUUGGAAAUCUUGGAUGGACUCGUAAAGUCCUAUGUUGAUAAUAAAUUCACUGGAGAAUUAGUUGCAGAUACGUCGAGUG